rnacentral:lncRNA from 1 species
AUGUCGCCCUCCUCUAAUCGUGAACAGAGUGCUUCCGCCACUGCCGCUCUUUCCAAUCAGUGCGCUCCCUCCCCCUCGCAUCAGUUCUUUUUCUGCGGCAAGAUCUCAUCGCAUUUACAACAGCAGUGGUUCAAAGCAACCUAUCUAAUGGCAAAAGAUCUGCUGGUACUCCAUAGGUUGUUUGGAUUUUAUUUCUACCAGUUGCAGGUAAGAUGCGCAUAUAUGUUUCUGCUUUUGUUAGUUCAGGCAUGGCCGUGUUCAUAUGAUUGUUGUCCUAAUCAUUUGUAUAUUCAUUAUGUGGAGAUUAUGGAUACCCCAUGUCUACACGGCGAUAAUAUUUGGGCUGAAUAUAGGAUACCGAAUAUAGAUAGAAUAUCUUAUCUGUAUUCUGGUUUGGUUUCUUAACUUGUAUGUC